AAUGCAAUCAGAGUACUUAUUACAUAGCGGAAGUCUUACAAAAUAAGAAAUAAAUAUAGCAGGAUCUAAAAUCCAUCCUUGGCGCCAGAAAGCUGACUGGGAGACGCCACCUAGAUCAAGUUGAAAGCCUCAAUGUUAGACAGCUCCUCUUCGACCACCUGUUCUUCUCCUGUGGGGGGUGUGAGACAGCAAGGGUGAGCUCACACAUGUUCAUCGCUCAACAAGUUGUGGGGAAUAAUGUGCAUGAACUCACCAAAGGUAAAAUUUUGACCAACUUAUUAAUUGCUAUUAAAAUUUUGACCAACUUAUAAAAGCAAUGCUCAGCUUCAGCCUUUAUUUCAUUGAUCAGCCUUACACUUCAUGAACUCACCCUUGCUGUAUACCAGUUUUACACUCAGCAGAGGUUGCACAUCUUUACCCACAAGUCGUGUUACCCAUUUGCCACGGAGUUGAUCAGACCCCAUACACCUCUACCAAGGAAGUGAGGCAUGGUACCACUACGAGGCCUUUACAAAGUUCCACUAGCUUCAGAAAACCCGCUACAGUUAUAGGAAGCUCCAGUGCAGGAAUCCCUCGCCUCACCGCCAUCGCAGCAAAAUCAACCCAAGGACCUCCCUACACUGACCACUCCCCUACUGCCCUUGCCCCUUUCGGGUAAGGUAGUCAUCCACUAGCUUUCCUAGUUAAUCAGCCCAGGGCGUCCCAUUAAAUCCUUGUGGUAGCACUGUUUUCUCGGGUGGUUCUCCAUGUUCCCAUUAACAUAAUGAUCUUAUCAUGACAGUAAAUAAUAAACAUAUAAUAAAAAGUGUAAACAUGAGUAAUGAAUAUCUCUAUACCCAAAACCACAUAAAGCAAUAGCAUGUAUUACCCAAAAAUUUAGAAGUAAAACCAGUGGUGAUACAAGGUAUAAAGAUAGUCAAAAUAUAGGGUAACCUAUUGAGUCCCAUCAAAAUUAACCUAUGCAGAUCAUUAUGAUUAAUAAGAAGAUGAAUGGGUAAAAGAAGUGAUCAAGGGCACAACUUGCCUUCAACGAGCUCCUGCUCAGUAGUCUCUACCAGCUGAACAUCAGGAUGCUCUGUAGCUUGCUCGUCUACUCGCAUCAACACAAUACAUACAUAGUAUAGCAAAAAUUAACAUCACACUAAACAUGUAAAUAAAAUACACAAUAAUAAUCUAGACAUUAAAAUAGGAUCACAGGAACAAAAAUUGUUAAUUUUGAAGUUAUGGAUUUUUAGUUAUGAAUUUUUGAAGGUUUUAUGUGUUUAAUACAAGAUUAAGUACUAGAUAAAUUUUAAUAUGUCUUUCAUGUCAAAACAGUGGCACUAAUGAUUAGACAAUAAUAUUACAAAAAUUUAGGGACUGGAAUGGACCAAUUUGGAGUUCAUAUGGAUUUUCUUGGAAUUUAACAAGUUCUAACAUUUAUUUAUGCAUUAAAAACCAAUUUCUGUUUUAUUUUCUAUGGUUUUUCUGUUGUCUGGACUGGGCACAAUUUUCUGGAAAGUGCAGGGGGUCUGGCGCAAGAUUCUACAGACUCAGAGAAUAGUAAAUGAGGACGGCGGGUUGUUUUCUAAAUUUUCCGAGGGCUCUUUCGCAAAGUGGCCUGCUAAGCGGUACCGGCCGAUUACGACCGUUGGAUCAACAGCUAAUGCCACCGAUUAGAUCCCAGAUCUCACGAAUCGAUAUGCGAAAUGGGCCACUGGAUCUGGAUCCUACGGCCCAUAGUCGAUCUGCGGGUUGGAAUGCAUAGCCAGAUCCAUCCGUCCAUUCCUAGACUGACGGUUCCGAUUCAAAGAAAUCCAUUCAACGCCCCAACUCUAAUCCCGAUCGCUCAAGCCUGAUCCGACGGCUGCACACAUUUCCCAUUCCUAACCAAUCAUGGCCACCCACCUAGGGAUCGACGGCAGAUGAUUCGUCUUCUCCAUGGCGCCAUUCGCCGCCUGCGCGCGCCAGGGAGACACAGCUCCGCCAGCGAUCGAGGGCGCCCUCAAAUGCGCACUGACGCGCACCCUCGCCACCGCGUCUAUCCUAGGUCAAACCAAAGGUGGUGUCGCGCCCAGCUACGUCGAGCAAUACACCGACCCAACUUGGGGCUAGGUGAGCUACGCCAUGAAGGAAAGGUAGGGCGAGAACGUGGGGGUUUCCUUACCGAAAGGUCCACUUGCCGCAACCUCGCUUCCGAUGACCGCCUUCGCAAUUCACCCGCAACCAAGUGCAGUCGCCGAGGAAUCCCGACGGCGGCGGUGGCAAAUCCGAGCUCCAAUCAAGCGUCCACAAGUUAGCUAUUUCCCUGACGCCGUUGAGUUGAGAGGGCCCUGCGCGGUUUGGAU
rnacentral:lncRNA from 1 species